GUCUGUGUACCAAACCACCCUGAACAUACCUGAUCUUGUCUGACCCUAGAAGCUCAGCAGGGUCAGCCAGGUCAGUACUUGGAGAGGAGACCAUCGUGGCUGUCU
rnacentral:rRNA from 1 species